UACGUGAGCUACACUUUAAGUUAGAGUAUGGUUCCCAGUGAUGUGCUAACUAAACAUCACUGUUACUGGUCAAUGAAUUUUCUGGUCGAGUCAGUUGAACUCACAUUCGAUAACUUGUAAUGUGUGUUGUUUUUAGCGAAGGUAAUUGUAUUAUAUCAUGAUCAGUUAAUUAUAUUGUAUGUCUCCUUUCUAACAAUUAAUUAUAUCAUGUUUAGUUAAGAGAAAAAUAUUUCAGAGAGAGGGGGAGGAUAUCACAGUUAAAAGUGAUGAUCAUUUACCCAUUUGGUCCAUGUAUUGUUAUCAAACAAUGCUAGUUUUCUCUUCCUUGUGUGUAAUUUUCUUCAGUUCAUCGGACUACCUGGUGAAACAUGCACAUUGUUUAUCUAAACCUAUAUUGGGCAUUAAAAUUAGUCCACCAAUCAUGAGAUAUCUAACUUUCGGAGGCAUAUGGCAUUUUCUGAAUUAUUGCUGUUAAAAGGGAGUGAGAGAGAAUGAAGAAUUAUUCCUUCAUGAUUUUGUACCAAUGCAAUUGUGUUUUACUUCAAGAUUCUAUCACCGUCUACCAUUUUGCCCAGAAGAAAAAUAUAAUUAUGUACUUGUUUUCUAUUUAUUGGAGAUAAUAUGCUUGGACUCACAACUGCAUCUAAUGCUUCCAUAUGGAGGUUUUCAACAUCAUGAAUUUCAUACUUAUGAGUGGAGCUACCAAAAUAUCUAUUGAGGAAAUAUGUCGAAGCACAGAAUAUAUUCCAUUUGCAGUGGACUAACAGAACAACACAACACAUAAAAAGAGGAGUAUAAGUGGAAACCUUCUCUUUAAAUUCUUGAGGACGGUAACAUUAUGAUGAAGGUGGAACCAUAGAGAGAUGUGUAUUUUUAAUUGAGAUAUUUUCAAGAGUACCUUUGCAAAGCCGAUAUAUCUUUCUUUUACAAGAUAUGGUUGCACUUGCUUCAUCUACAUAGGCCGUCUGGAAUGCCAUGAGGCCGGGAUUGGUGUAGGAAAUCUUCAAAGCUAUUAUGUUGGUCUCAAGAAACUUGCAAUACAUCAAUGCAUUUUUAUUUUUAUUUUUUUGCUGACACCACAGCUACCACCUCUUCACUAAAUGACAGAGGUUGCCAGCAACUGCACAUGGAAAGAUUGAAUGUUAUAUUCUGUCUACUAAUCAAUAAGGAGGGAGAUCAAAUUACUGCUCUCAAAUAUUCACCUGAUAGAUUUUGAAAAGAGGGUUAAAAAUGGUGUUAUGAAUGAAGAUGGAUGGGGGUGAGGGCUGGGAGAAAGAUGUUGUAGUGCAAGAAGAAGUUGGUUAAGAAGACUGAUGAUUAUGAGAAUGAAGGACACAAACUUUUGAAUUAGACCAAUUGUUUGAUCGAUCAUUUUUGUUCUCUUGAAAAUGAUGUAUGGUCAAUUUUAGUAUUCUGAUGUGAUUGAAGAAUAUAGGAGGGACAAAGAGAUGUGCUAUUGCCAGGACAAUUAUGACUCUCUAUUCAGGUAUUCAGGUAUGAUUCUCCAUGGUCGUGCUUCUCCUGUUCACCUGGAAGUUUAUUGAUGGGAGGGAAGCCACUUCUGCUUUGAUGAUUUCUUGGAAGUUCAGGUUAAAACACUUUUGCUCUUAAAGUUUGAUUAUCAAUUCUUUGGAUAACCUAUGUAACGAUUGGUUUUGAUUUUCAUACAACUCGGUGAAUUUACAAUCAGUAUAUACAAGUCAGGUUGUUUGCGAGAGAAUUUCAUUCCCUAGAAUCAUUGUCAUUGUUGUUGCCUAGAAGGUACUUGAAGAAAAUGCCCGAGACAUAUUUUAAGGAGUAUAAUUCAGCACUAAGGCUAUUAUUACAAUGAUGGAAUCUUUGUUGUGGUAGUUAUGUCUCCAAAUGCGUCGAUCCCUAUCGGCUUACUGAAGUAAACUUAUUUUUUUGUCGAUUUCUAUUGGCUUACUGACAACUUAUUUAUUCUUUUCAAAUUUUAAUUCCUUGAUCUUUG